rnacentral:rRNA from 1 species
AUUGAACGCUGGCGGCAGGCCUAACACAUGCAAGUCGAGCGGAGCGGCGGACGGGUGCGUAAUGCCUAGGACUCUGCCUGGUAGUGGGGGAUAACGUCCGGAAACGGGCGCUAAUACCGCAUACUAUCAGAUGAGCCUAGGUCGGAAUAGCUAGUUGGUGGGGUAAAGGCCUACCAAGGCGACGAUCCGUAACUGGUCUGAGAGGAUGAUCAGUCACACUGGAACUGAGACACGGUCCAGACUCCUACGGGAGGCAUAAGUGGUGAAUAUUGGACAAGGGGCGAAAGCCGGAUCCAGCCGUGCCGCGUGUGUGAAGAAGGUCUUCGGAUUGUAAAUCACUUUACGGUGGGAGACGUUACCGACAGAAGAAGCACCUGCGAACUUCGUGCCAGCCGCCGCGGUAAUAC